rnacentral:rRNA from 1 species
GGUGGGGAAACACCCGUUCCCAUUCCGAACACGGAAGUUAAGCCCACCAGGGCCGAUGAUACUGCGACCGGGAGGUCGUGGGAAAGUAGGUCGCUGCCGGAG